rnacentral:lncRNA from 1 species
GGACUUUAGGGAGCUCGGCUGAUACUGCUCCCUCCCUGGGCUUCGGCAAGAGUCUUUCCCUGUCUAACACGAGGGAACACACGGAGAAUUUUAAUGUACAUAUUCAAGAACAAAAGCCUAUGAAGCUGGCCUGCAACUGUAGCAUUAAACAGCGGUGCCUCAAAACGUGGAUUUGUACCAACUAGAAGAACAACAUCUGCUUCUUCCACACCAGCAAUUGUGGUAUUGAGAAGAUAAUUGGAACGAAAAUGACAGCUGAGAAUAGUUGUAGCACUCAUCUUCAAUCCAAGUACUUAGGAGGUAAAGACAGAAAGUUCUUCUGCCACACAGAGUUCAAGGCCAGCCUGGGCUACAAGAAACUCAAAAAUCAAAAUGAAAUCCCAAACAGCAGCCUGGAGCACAGCUUAAUGUUUCUCACCCAGCUCCUUCAGUGGGGAAGAUCUCCUCAGUGCAUAAGUUGUCAGAGUCAACUUUAUUAAGCAAGUCUUUCAGAGCUACUAAGGCUUCAGCAUCCACCAAGCCACCUGCAAUCGCUGCCACAGCAUUGCCUUCAAAAUUCUGUAACUGAAAACAGAGAAAAGGGCAUCUCUAAGAAACCUACAGUCAGCAAAGACCAUGAUUGUUCAGAAAAGAAACCAAGUCAUUCUCAAGUAUCCAGAGUAGCAGGAUGCACAGCGGUCUCUCCUGGGUUAGUGUAGCUACCACUCCACAAUAAAGAAGCUUUUUACAGCAAAUGGGAAGGAAAACCACACUGGAAACAAUGCAGAAAUCAACAAAUUGUGGGGACCCCAGUCACAACAGACACAUCUACACCAUGGCUCUUGCAUCUAUAGUACAAGGAACCACCAUGGAAAAGAAAGAAAGAGUCUAAGAGCCAGAAUACCAGAAGUCUGCUGUAAAGCAGUAUCUCCUAGAAAGGCUGCAUAAACAAGAUCCGAAUACCAAUACCAACAGGAAUUUUAACAUGGAAGGGAGAAUAUUCCACAGGUCUCACCUCUAGACAAAGAACUGUAGGCAACUGACUGCUGGGAGAAAAAGAAUUAGCUUCUCUCAGGAAUGAACCCCCAUAUAGGUUGUUCAGUACAAAGCAGUCAGUCAGCCUUGAAAUCAUAUAUACACAAACAACAAAAAUGUAGAUUCCAUUUGUAUUUGUGCAUGUACAUAAAUUUAUAUAUUUAUAAUAUAUAUAUAUAUAUAUAUAAAACGUGAAUUUAAAAAGACAUUGUGUCAAAAAAUAUUAACUAGCAAAUAAAAAAAAUUUAACCUUUUAUUUUUCUGGUGAAUUAAAUUAAUUAACAUUUGAUUAUUGAAAUAACUUACAAGUUCUGAAAAUACUUAUACAGUCAAGGAAUUUAAUCUAUUUGGGUCUGAAUGCAAUGAACCACUUAUAUUUCUUUCUAAUACACUGAUUCCUAGC